rnacentral:rRNA from 1 species
ACUCCUACGGGAGGCAGCAGUGGGGAAGUAUUGCACAAUGGGGGAAACCCUGAUGCAGCCAUGCCGCGUGUGUGAAGAAGGCCUUGGGUUGUAAAGCACUUUCAGUAGGGAGGAAGGUAGUGUAGUUAACACCUGCAUUAUUUGUACGUUACCUACAGAAGAAGCACCGGCUAACUCCGUGCCAGCAGCCGCGGUAAGUACGGAGGGUGCGAGCGUUAAUCGGAAUUACGUGGGCGUAAAGCGCAUGCAGGCGGCCUGUUAAGUCAGAUGUGAAAGCCCGGGGUCGUUAACCUCGGAAUUGCAUUUGAAACUGGCAGGCUAGAGUCUUGUAGGAGGGGUUAGAA